ensembl:lncRNA
GGGGAAGUCCCGAUGACGUCUACCGCAUCUCAUAAGAGGAAGCGGAAGAUGCACCAUGCCUGGGCACCAUGCGUCUAAAAUCAGUUUUGUCAUCUCGAUUUAUAGGAAACAUCCUCACAAAAAUGGCUAUUCUGCUUGGACUUUUUUCUGCUCUCCUGUUUGUGUCUGAAGCCAUAUUUGUGUACAAUGUCAACUCAACCAUCAUGGACUCAGCACUCCUGGGAUGUAGCGUACCAGUUAAAACAGACUUGAAAAAUCUUCGCUUUUACUGGCAGGAUGAAAGGAAGGCUGUUUUGUACUCUUUCAAUAAAGGAAAGACAAUGUUCACGCAUGUAAAAGACCCUUAUCUGAACAGGACCGCGGCCUUCACCCAGGAAAUGACGAAAGGAAAUAUUUCAGUCCUAGUCAAGAAUUUGACUCUUGGAGAUAAUGGGAGGAUAUUUGAAGCUUACGCUGCAGUUUUUAAUGGUUCGGAGACAGUGAUGCAGACCUCAAAAGUUUGCCAUGCAAAUUUGUAUGUAACAGUGCCUUACAAGCACCUCAAGCUGGCUGUAAACACUAAAACAAUGACUUCAGUGUGCACGCUGCAUGGUGUAUUUCCAGCUCCUGAGAUACGCUGGACCAUCCACUACAACCACUCUGAAUCCUUGGUUGAGUCGAAGCAUGUCCACACUAAGACAGAGCAGGAUCCUGAAAACUAUUUGUACACCUCUAGCAGCACUCUCCACAUCCCUGCAGAUCAUUACCGAGCCAUUACCUGUCUGUGCCACAACCCCACUUCAAAUACGACUCUGAACGCCACUUAUACUUUAAGCAAAGGUGCAGCAGUGUGGAGUUUACCUGGCCGGACUGCAGGUCUCAUAGUGGCUGCUGCAGUUCUUCUAACAGCUCUGCAGCAGCUGUAGUUCACACAUGAUGGCCUGGUUUUGGUGGUGGACGACUUCAGCUGGUCUAGGAUAUUCAAAGUACACCAAAGUUUGUGUGACUUUUGAUGUAUUUAUAAGUGUAUUUAUGCCACACUACUCCAGUCUUAUUGCAAGCCCAAAUCAGAGACUUUUGAAAAUGCUGCUUAUCCAGUUUCAGUCUGGCCUGGACGGGAAAACACAGACUGAGUUUCAUGAAUCAGAAAAAUGAAACCAAAAGAUCACACCUAGGAUCAGGUUCCCUGUGUGGUUUCAUCCAUUUCGUGUCAGUAGUUACUUCAGGAUUUCAUAAAAGGAACAAUUGCGCACACAUGUGGGUCAAAAACCUCGAGGUGGAUAAUAAUAGUCCUGCUAGUUUUGUGUUCAGUGAAGGGAGUGCGGGCAGAAGAUGAAAGGAGUAGAGAUUGUGAAGGUGGAUGAGUUUAAAUGUUUGGGCUCGACCUUCCAAAUAGACAGAGCAGACGAGACGUGAAGAAAAGAAACAGAGGAAGACCUCGGAGAUUCAUGGAUGUAGUGAAGGACUGGUGAUGGGGGAGGGUGCUGGGAGUGAUCUGUUUUGAAAAGCAGCAGAAAUCUCCUUUUAAACUUGUUUGGUUUUUUUAGCACUAUGAUUGUGAAGCACUUUGUUAUAUUUAUCUAUAUGAAUAAAAUGUUAUUUUACUUA